rnacentral:rRNA from 1 species
UGGGGAAUUUUGGACAAUGGGCGAAAGCCUGAUCCAGCAAUGCCGCGUGUGUGAAGAAGGCCUUCGGGUUGUAAAGCACUUUUGUCCGGAAAGAAAUCCUUGGCUCUAAUACAGUCGGGGGAUGACGGUACCGGAAGAAUAAGCACCGGCUAACUACGUGCCAGCAGCCGCGGUAAUACGUAGGGUGCAAGCGUUAAUCGGAAUUACUGGGCGUAAAGCGUGCGCAGGCGGUUUGCUAAGACCGAUGUGAAAUCCCCGGGCUCAACCUGGGAACUGCAUUGGUGACUGGCAGGCUAGAGUAUGGCAGAGGGGGGUAGAAUUCCACGUGUAGCAGUGAAAUGCGUAGAGAUGUGGAGGAAUACCGAUGGCGAAGGCAGCCCCCUGGGCCAAUACUGACGCUCAUGCACGAAAGCGUGGGGAGCAAACAGGAUUAGAUACCCUGGUAGUCCACGCCCUAAANGAUGUCAACUAGUUGUUGGGGAUUCAUUUCCUUAGUAACGUAGCUAACGCGUGAAGUUGACCGCCUGGGGAGUACGGUCGCAAGAUUAAAACUCAAAUGAAUUGACGGGGU